AAUGGAUGAAAUAUGAAGUUUUAUUAAAAGAAAAAGGGGUGAAAAGAACAAAGUUUUGUCCAUCUUUGUUCAUCAUAGCUGAAAGUUAGAGAAGAGAAAGGAGAGGAGAAAGCUCUUGAGUAUUCGGUCAUUAGGAGGAGGAAAAUUGAAGGAAAUCCCCAACCAUAGUGGGCUUGGAGCUGUGAGGGAAUUCGGAGUGGCCACCCGUUCUGAAAGUUUGAUUUUCUUCUGGUGAACUGGACAUCCUUUUAUUUACGUUUGAAGUUUUUGGGCUUUUAAAUGUAAUAAGGCCACUUAAUUAUUUUUGAUGGUUUUAAUAUGUAUUACUAAGAUAGGUAAUACUUAUUUUAACUGUUGAAA